UACGUAGGGGGCAAGCGUUGUCCGGAUUUAUUGGGCGUAAAGAGCGUGUAGGCGGUCCGGUAAGUCCGCUGUGAAAGUCGGGGGCUCAACCCUCGAAUGCCGGUGGAUACUGUCGGGCUAGAGUGCGGAAGAGGCGAGUGGAAUUCCUGGUGUAGCGGUGAAAUGCGUAGAUAUCUGGAGGAACACCGGUGGCGAAGGCGGCAUCCUGGACCAAUACUGACGCUGAGGAGCGAAAGUGUGGGGAGCGAACAGG
rnacentral:rRNA from 1 species